AAAUAUAGAAAAAUGGCUGCCUUUCUGUCACAUGAUGGAAAAAAUAUUGAAAUACGUUCAAUCGCGUUCAUCAAAAACCAACUACUAUCGUAUUUCAAUGACCUUAAACAGUAGCAAUUCAGUAAAUUAUAAAUGUCAUUUACUUUGCAAUGUACAAGGUUAGUAUCGAGACUAGUGUAAUCGCACAGAAUUUGCUUUAGGGAGGUCUUAAGAAGCGAAAGCCCUACAGUAGCUGAAAACUACGAUUAACAUUCGAAUAAAUGACCGACACCAUGCAUAGUUAAUGCAAGGCUUACUUUUCAAAAAGGAUUUAAAGUGUUCACGUAAAAUUGAAGUUAUUUAAUGUUUAAAAAAUCUGUUUUUAUUUUUUCUCGAACUUAGUGACUUCAGUUUAUCAAUGCUGUGAUUCUAUACUUAACAUUUAGAUUAUAUACAUAUAUUGUGUAUCAUUUUAUCUCAUGAGAUUGUGAUUACAAUACAAACAGCAUUGUAUUUAUCGUUUUAUAUUGAAUUAAGUGGUUUAGAGUAAGUAAAAAUUGAUCGACAAAUAAAAAUGCGCCAUCUCUAAAUUCA